UACAUACAUAUAUGUAUAUAUGUGUAUAUGUAUAGAACAAGGCCUUGUUGGCAAUAAUUUUGCACUUUGGAUUCGUAUGUGCGCAAUUGAGACGGUUCUAUGAAAGUGUUUGCCAAAAAGAUCAUGAAAAAAAAAAAA